AGGGAAUCUUCCACAAUGGACGCAAGUCUGAUGGAGCAACGCCGCGUGAGUGAAGAAGGUUUUCGGACCGUAAAGCUCUGUUGUUGGUGAAGAAGGAUAGAGGUAGUAACUGGCCUUUAUUUGACGGUAAUCAACCAGAAAGUCACGGCUAACUACGUGCCAGCAGCCGCGGUAAUACGUAGGUGGCAAGCGUUGUCCGGAUUUAUUGGGCGUAAAGCGAGCGCAGGCGGAAGAAUAAGUCUGAUGUGAAAGCCCUCGGCUUAACCGAGGAAUUGCAUCGGAAACUGUUUUCUUGAGUGCAGAAAAGGAGAGUAGAACUCCAUGUGUAGCGGUGGAAUGCGUAGAUAUAUGGAAGAAUACCAGUGGCGAAGGCGGCUCUCUGGUCUGCAACUGACGCUGAGGCUCGAAAGCAUGGGUAGCGAACAGGAUUAGAUACCCUGGUAGUCCA
rnacentral:rRNA from 1 species